AUGUGUAGCAGUGCUUUUAUUUUAGUGCUGAAUCACAUCACAAUUCAUUUCAUCAUGUUUCAUAAAUAUCAUCAAAUGUUAAAUGUUCAUUUGUUCCAUGUUGUCCGAGUCUUGCCGUUGAAUGCCGCCUCUGUACAUCUUCACCUUUUCCUUCUGUUUCAUGUACCCUUGUCAACAAGGAUUUCCCUUCACUUCUUCUCUAUUCUUAGCCAGGUAACCCAUUAUUUGGGAUUUUCCCUUUUCUAUUAAUAGGUCACAUCAAAGACUUCCUUUGAUGUGCUACCUACUUUCUAAUUGGCUAUUGUGUCCUCUGACCUUACAUCCUUUGGCCACCUGUUUUCCACCUCACUCCACUUGCUGUUGCUGAGCUGGAAACAUUCUUUCCCUUCUCAGGUUUGACCUCAGCAACAGCUUCAUUCUUCACAUAAUAAAAUUCAUUUCAUCACCAUUGCCUUGUGUCGUCUUGAGCAGCAGCCCAGAGCCGAACUGCAUAAACACGGCUAAAAUUUGGCACCCAACGUGGGGCUGCUUGUCUCAAGACAGACAUCAUUCACCUCCAUUCUCAUCUUCAUCUGGAGUGAACAGCCUAUAUGGAUGAACUCUGUUGGGAGACCAUGAUGUGAAUAUUCUUUGGUGGCACCAAUUGACUCCUUUUUGUGAGGAUUAUUCUUGGAUGUGUUUAAUAUGAUUUCAUGGACUGAGGAUUCUUCAUAAGCUGUAAGUACUGUUGCACAGGGACUCUGAGAGCCUUAUGACUGCCGCUCAGCAGCAAGCUGAACAUUUUGCUUACAGACUGAUCUCAUCCAUGGAGAACUGUGUUUUCAACCACAUCCUUGAUAUAUGUGCCCCAUGAACUUUGAUUGUACAUAAUGAACUGUUGAUUGGUUUGACCUCAGCAACAGCUUCAUUCUUCACAUAAUAAAAUUCAUUUCAUCA